GACGAACCGUGCAAACGUUAUUCGGAAUCACUGGGCAUAAAGGGCGCGUAGGCGGCUCCAAAAGUCAGGGGUGAAAUCCGGCAGCUUAACUGUCGCAGUGCCUUUGAUACUGUGGAGCUAGAGGGAGGUAGGGGCGCGCGGAACUAAUGGUGGAGCGGUGAAAUGCGUUGAUAUCAUUAGGAACUCCGGUGGCGAAGGCGGCGCGCUGGACCGAUACUGACGCUGAGGCGCGAAAGCGUGGGGAGCAAACAGG
rnacentral:rRNA from 1 species